rnacentral:rRNA from 1 species
AUGCUAGAAGGAAGGGCACGUGAGGCGAAGACAUGGCCCCCGCGUCGCUCCGCACGAGCAACACGGGCGGCGACCCAAACCACCACCGACAGCCGCUUCCGCCGUCGUCUUCCCCCCUCGCCGCCGCCGGGAUGCGCCACCGGGCAAAGCCCGUGUGGCAGCGGUGGCGGCGGGGCUUCUUCUCUAGGGCGCGGGUGGCCCGUGGCUGGCUCGUGCGGCGCCAGCGCAUGGUCGUCGCGAGCUUUUCGCCGGCGGGCUGGAGCUCCUCUCCUCCAGCGGGGGCGACGGAUCCGGGGCCCUCGCGCCCGGAUCUGGUGGUGUGCAGACGUGGCCGGCCUGCAGCGGUGGCUCUGGCGCCGUGGGUGA